AAAUUGAAGAGUUUGAUCAUGGCUCAGAUUGAACGCUGGCGGCAGGCCUAACACAUGCAAGUCGAACGGUAACAGAAAGCAGCUUGCUGCUUUGCUGACGAGUGGCGGACGGGUGAGUAAUGUCUGGGAAACUGCCCGAUGGAGGGGGAUAACUACUGGAAACGGUAGCUAAUACCGCAUAACGUCGCAAGACCAAAGAGGGGGACCUUCGGGCCUCUUGCCAUCGGAUGUGCCCAGAUGGGAUUAGC
rnacentral:rRNA from 1 species